rnacentral:rRNA from 1 species
UGGGGAAUUUUGGACAAUGGGCGAAAGCCUGAUCCAGCAAUGCCGCGUGUGUGAAGAAGGCCUUCGGGUUGUAAAGCACUUUUGUCCGGAAAGAAAUCCUUGGCUCUAAUACAGUCGGGGGAUGACGGUACCGGAAGAAUAAGCACCGGCUAACUACGUGCCAGCAGCCGCGGUAAUACGUAGGGUGCAAGCGUUAAUCGGAAUUACUGGGCGUAAAGCGUGCGCAGGCGGUUUGCUAAGACCGAUGUGAAAUCCCCGGGCUCAACCUGGGAACUGCAUUGGUGACUGGCAGGCUAGAGUAUGGCAGAGGGGGGUAGAAUUCCACGUGUAGCAGUGAAAUGCGUAGAGAUGUGGAGGAAUACCGAUGGCGAAGGCAGCCCCUGGGCCAAUACUGACGCUCAUGCACGAAAGCGUGGGGAGCAAACAGGAUUAGAUACCCUGGUAGUCCACGCCCUAAACGAUGUCAACUAGUUGUUGGGGAUUCAUUUCCUUAGUAACGUAGCUAACGCGUGAAGUUGACCGCCUGGGGAGUACGGUCGCAAGAUUAAACUCAAUGAAUUGACGGGGUCAUAGCUGUUUCCU